CUGGGCGGCGUCGCACGCUACAGGGGUCUCGGUCCCUCCGCCACUCAUCCCGACCAGUUCCGCCCACCCGCGGCGUCCACGGCGCAGGUACAGCUCCGGUAAAGCACCAGAGACGACAUCCAGGAACCUGAGUCUGCUCCCAGCAUUCCUGCCCUCCAGCAAAGACAUUCUUGGAAGCACUGCUUUGGGAUUCCUGGCCUAUUUCACCUGUUUCUAUUUCCUGGUCUCCCCAACACAUUGCUAUUUCUGGAAUAACAAGAAAAACAGGGCAGUACUCAGUAUCGAUUGCAGUCACUGCAGGCUUAAUUAUAUGGUACCUGCCAUCAACAAUGUGACAUUAAAAACACUUUCUAUGACUGAAUCUGUGGCUGCAGAAUAGAAGGAGGGCUGCCUUAGGAAAAUCCAUUUUCAGAGGAGGAGACCUAAGGUCAGAACACCAGUUCCUGCUUUCCCAGUAGAGACAUGUCACAUGAUAGACUCUGAGGGUUGGUGUUUUGUUUUAAGUUUAAAUUAAAGUGCUUAAGAGAGCUAUAAAACAAUAAGGCCUGCCUGUAAGCCUCACUUGCCCAAGGACAGAUACCUUCCUGAGUCUGCUCCCAGCAUUCCUGUCCUUGGGGGGCGGUUAUCCAUGUAAGAUAACAAACCUCGGUUUUUGCUUUUUCCAAGCUUAGUUGUCCAAACUGCACCUAUUAAUGCUUGAUCACACAUAGGUGGGAGGUGCAUAGGCAGGAAUUCUGCCAGGAUAUUGUUUGUUCCUAACUGGACCAAGAUAGAAGUACACAGCCCUGUGGGUUUUGCUUUUAUAAGCCUCUGACUAAAGUUAAUUCACUACCAUUCUCUAGGAAUCCCUGGUAUGGACCAGCCCAGUGACAAUUGCCCUGGCCAAUAUUAUAAUAAAACUAGCCUCAAAUUUGGUUCAAACUUUUUGGUAGUGUUCUUAAUUCCCACAUAUGGGAUUAUCAACACUUUCUGCAAGGAGGUGGAUUUUGAGGUAGGAGCAGGGGGAUCUUUCUACUGUGCCAUUUCUCUGAGUUUCUUGUUAACCUUCUCUCUCUGGGAUGCUUUCUUUGUCCCCUCUAUGUAUUCAUUCACAGCGUUGUACAGUAAAGAAUUUGGCCGGGGGGCCUGGAGAGAUGUCUCAGCAGUUAAGAGCACUGGCUAUUUCUCUAGAGGAUCUGGGUUCAAUUCCCUGCACCCACAUGGUGACUCACAGUUGUCUGUAACUCCAGUCCCAGGGGGCUUGACACCCUCUUCUUGUAGGAUUGAGUUCAACGACAUGAGCAACGAUUUGGGCCCCAGUGCCUUUGUAAGGCGCCCUGAAAUCCCUAGACACUGGUGCUUUCAAUCAUAGGCCCACGUGCCAAGAGGAAGAUGCUUUCCUGAGGAUGCCCUAGUUGCAUGUUUGGGACUCUUCCAAGUCUCCUUAUGUGUCUCUUCAUUUGGCUGCUAAUCCUGUGCAAUUUUAUACUAAAGCUCAUUGUAAAUAUAGCACACGUGUUCCUGAGCUACAUGGGUAUCUUAGUGAAUUAGCAAAUCCAUGUGUGGCUAAGGAACCCUGGAGUUUGUGGUUCCAGUCUGAAACUGGAAUGUGUAGGACUACGUUUUGCACCUCUGAAGUCUAUGCUAACAGUGAAUGGUCAGAAGCAGAAAUCCAUCACCCAGGAGCAAACACUCACACAGCACUUGCUACCAGACAGGUAUUGAGCAGUCUACCAGUGGACACAACACUUCAUGAGGAAGAACAUCCUGCUCUCCUGCGAUUCUGAAGCACUGACUCUCGUGACCUGUGAGCAUCAGGCCAGGCUUUAUGAUGUCGGAGACUCGUUCUGUUCUCUGGGAUGCUCGAGGUCUGCAUAUGCCUCUCUGUACCUUCCACUUUGCAGAACAUUUAAAUUUGAGGACACAGCAGAGCAGCUCACAUCAUGGCCGAAAGGAGAUAGGCAGCAAGUAAGGGAGCGGGGUGACGCAUAUCCUGUUUUCAAAGGUUCACCUCCCUCAGUCAGACCUUACUUGCUAAACUUCCCCCAAACAGCAGCAUCACCUGGGGACCAAGGGUUCAAUACACGAGUGUGAGGGGCACGUGUCAUAUUCAAACCACCAAAAAACCCCCGAACUCUCUAUUUUUCCUCUGGAGAAAUUUUAUUAUCUUUCAUGUUUCUGGAUUAAUGAAACUUUUAUAUAUACAUUUUUGAAAAUGUCAAUAUUAUGUUAUAUUUAGUCGUAUUUCUGUGCACAUGUGUGCACACACAAGGGAAGAGAUGGGAGGAUCUUUGGUCUUAGGGGUAAGAGCCUAUAAAUGUGCAUGUAUUAACUUCCUGAAGUCUAGGAAACACAUAUGGCGUGCUCAGUGUGAGCGUCAGCAUGAUGUGAAGCACCGUGCUGUGAAUGAACGUCAGCAAACUUCUUGGUGGCAGCAAUCCCAUAGAUCUCAGACUGAACUUUCACGGUCCUGCAUCACCAUGGUUCGCCUGGGAGAUGCUUCCGGUAAUUACGACAGCAUCCAGAGGAUGCCUGUGAUGAUUUGAGUGGCCCCAAUGGGUUCAUGUAUUUGAACUUGUUUCCAGCUGGUGAUGUCAUUUGAGGUUAUGUAAUCUUUAGAUGCAGCCUUGUUGGAGAAAGCAAUCACUGAUUUGGGCGAGCUCUCUCUCACUCUGUGUAUAUGUGUGUGUAUGUAUGUGUGUGUGUGUGUGUGUUUAUAGCCCCACUCCAUUUUCUGCUUUCUGCUUCCUGCAUGCAGAUAAAAUGAAACCAGGCAGAUUCCUGUUCCUGCUUUCGUGCCAUGCCUUUCCCCCCCAUGAAGACUUUAUUUCUCUGAAACCAUAAGCUAAAAUAAAAUCUUGGUCAUGGUAUUUUAUCACAGCAACAGAAAAAUAAUAAUGUCUAGUUUAUAGUUUGGACCUUAAUAAAGGUAUUGCGGUGGUCUGAAUAUACUUAGCCUGUGGGAAGUGGCACUAUUAGGAGGCGUGGCCUUACUGGAGGAGACAUAGC